rnacentral:rRNA from 1 species
UGUGCACAUAUUUAGAGGGCGAGAGGGAACUCGCAGUUCCCUUCCCUUUAUUUUAUUAUUACACACUGGUUUUCAAUAUUGAACGUGAUUGUGCCAUAAGGCCUUAACAUUAAUAUACAACUUUUAACAACGGAUCUCUUGGCUCUCGCAUCGAUGAAGAACGCAGCGAAAUGCGAUAAGUAAUGUGAAUUGCAGAAUUCAGUGAAUCAUCGAAUCUUUGAACGCACCUUGCGCUCCCUGGUAUUCCGGGGAGCACGCCUGUUCGAGUGUCGUGAAAUCCUCAAGCCUAGGGCAUUAUAUUGUCCCCUUUGGCUUGGUUGUUGGGCUCUGCCGUUCCUUCAAUCGUAGGGAUGGCUGGCCUUAAAAAUAUUAGCUGGUCUUAAUUGUGGGCAUUGGUUCUACUCAGCGUGAUAAUUAUAAUCUUGACCGCCGAGGAUAUCUUUCGGGAUAGCCAGCUCUUGUUUGGGCCGCUUCUAGUCUGGUUGAACGAAGUUCUGUGAAUCUCGUUUUACCCUUUCAGUUUUGACCUCGAAUCAGGUGGGACU